rnacentral:rRNA from 1 species
GAUGAACGCUGGCGGCGUGCCUAAUACAUGCAAGUCGAGCGAACGGAUAAGGAGCUUGCUCCUUUGAAGUUAGCGGCGGACGGGUGAGUAACACGUGGGUAACCUACCUAUAAGACUGGAAUAACUUCGGGAAACCGGAGCUAAUGCCGGAUAACAUUUGGAACCGCAUGGUUCUAAAGUAAAAGAUGGUUUUGCUAUCACUUAUAGAUGGACCCGCGCCGUAUUAGCUAGUUGGUAAGGUAACGGCUUACCAAGGCAACGAUACGUAGCCGACCUGAGAGGGUGAUCGGCCACACUGGAACUGAGACACGGUCCAGACUCCUACGGGAGGCAGCAGUAGGGAAUCUUCCGCAAUGGACGAAAGUCUGACGGAGCAACGCCGCGUGAGUGAUGAAGGUUUUCGGAUCGUAAAACUCUGUUAUUAGGGAAGAACAAAUGCGUAAGUAACUGUGCGCAUCUG